CUACGUGCCAGCAGCCGCGGUAAUACGUAGGUCCCGAGCGUUAUCCGGAUUUAUUGGGCGUAAAGCGAGCGCAGGCGGUUAGAUAAGUCUGAAGUUAAAGGCUGUGGCUUAACCAUAGUACGCUUUGGAAACUGUUUAACUUGAGUGCAGAAGGGGAGAGUGGAAUUCCAUGUGUAGCGGUGAAAUGCGUAGAUAUAUGGAGGAACACCGGUGGCGAAAGCGGCUCUCUGGCUUGUAACUGACGCUGAGGCUCGAAAGCGUGGGGAGCAAACAGGAUUAGAUACCCUGGUAGUCCACGCCGUAAACGAUGAGUGCUAGGUGUUAGACCCUUUCCGGGGUUUAGUGCCGUAGCUAACGCAUUAAGCACUCCGCCUGGGGAGUACGACCGCAAGGUUGAAACUCAAAGGAAUUGACGGGGGCCCGCACAAGCGGUGGAGUAUGUGGUUUAAUUCGACGCAACGCGAAGAACCUUACCAGGUCUUGACAU
rnacentral:rRNA from 1 species